AUGCAGGAGAGGCUGCCGUUCCGUGCGAUCCGGCCGAGCAAAGGUGAUAGGGCCCUUAGUCAAGCGACAAGGCUCGCCCCAAUCUUUAUGUUGCUGUCGCUGCUGCUGAUUUCUUGUGGAGUCGGCAGCAUUCGCUGCUCCUCGACGACCGUCCAUGGUAACAUCACGGGCAUGAUCUCGCUGCUAGAUUUCAAGCGGGACAUCACUAACGACUCAAGACAAGCCUUAAGAUCUUGGCAAGCCAGUGUCCCUCUUUGCAGUUGGGAGGGCGUCCACUGUAGCUCGGGGCGAGUCACUAAGUUGUACCUCAGCGAACGAGAGUUGUUGGGCCCGAUAUCCCCCUCACUCGGGAAUCUAACAUUUCUUAGGGCACUGGACCUGUCCAAAAAUGGGUUCACCGGCGAGUUACCACCUCUCAACCGUCUCCACAGAUUGGAAUACAUUGACUUGGGAAACAACUCACUACGAGGGACCAUUCCAGAGACUCUCACAAACUGCUCCAAGCUAUGGAGCCUAGACCUGUCUGCCAACUUACUAAUGGGUGAAAUUCCCCUUGGUAUAGGUCGCCUAUCCAAUCUAAGGAAAGUAUGGCUUUCCUCAAAUAAUCUCACCGGAAAAAUCCCGCCAAGCCUAAAAAACAACAGUCAGCUUGAAGGCAUCGUUCUUACUGAUAAUAAGCUCACGGGAACCAUUCCUGAUGAGAUGGGAAUUUUCUCAUCUCUUGUUAAUUUAGACCUUGCUGGAAAUAUGCUAUCUGGUGGAAUUCCAGAAACCUUGUACAAAUACAAUCAGUCCUCUCUCCAAUAUUUAUACUUAUAUUCGAAUAUGCUCGGGAAAACAGUGCCAUCGAACUUUGGUGACACCCUCCCGAAUCUUAAACAUCUCUGUUUGGACAACAACAAUUUUGAAGGUCAUCUCCCUGCUUCACUAGGCAAUAUUUCAGAACUAAGACUGUUAAACUUGUCGUCCAACAAUUUCAUUGGUCAAGUUCCAGGUUCGUUUGGUAAUCUUGCACUGUUAGAAUACCUAAUCCUUCAGCGAAACAAUUUUUGGGGCUUCCUCCCAAUAGAGCUUGGCGGCUUAAAGCAGCUCACCCAUCUGGAUCUGUCUGAUAAUAAUAUGCAAGGUGGUGUGCCAUGA
rnacentral:rRNA from 1 species